CCAAAAAUACAUUAAGUUUCCAAAAUUGGAAACUGAACAUUCUCUCUCUUCCUCACGCGUCCGAAACCGACGGAAACUGGGCAAUCCUUCGCCGGCGUCUAUCUUCCAAUUCCGGCCACCUCUGGACGAGCAACCACGUCCAUCAGCUUCGCCUCACUCCUCCGAAGCCAUCUGUGGCAACCUUGCACGGCGGCACGGCCCCUAGCGGCGGCGGCGGCCCGGUUUCGAUUUAAGCUCGAUUUUGGUCAACGCCGGUUUUCUCCUAGCUCCGGCCACCAAAACUUCCGAUCCUUGGCUCCAUGAACUCCCCUCAACCUGCUGAUCAUCAUACUAGGAGGAUUGCACCUAGAGUGACCGGUUUCACGUUCGUCGGAGCUCGUGGGUUCCCCUUGAUGUUAUUAACAACUCUCUAGAAGGCAUCGAGGCCUGAAAUUGAAGCUUUGACGUCGAAAUCGAGCCUUGCCGGAUUCUGCAAAAUUCUGGAAUUUUUCCGACCACCGAAGCUUUCGAUCGGUAUAUCUCGAGCUACAGACCAUAUUUUUCUGUGAUUCUUGAACCAGUGAGUUCUUCUUGAGUUUCUUAACAACUCUUCAGAAGGAAUCGAAGCCUUAAAUUGACGUUUUUACGUCGAAUUGGAGCUCGCCGUUUUCUGCAGUUUCUCGCCGGUUUCUGGAAAAUUCCGGCCACCUUCAUACUGUUCAAGGUGAUUGACGAAUCGAGUUGGUGGACGAUUCAGAUGGAUAUGUGGCUUUUAGAAGACGCAGCUGGAAUUGGAGCGGGUAAUCCUACAGGACAGGAGAACCAGGACGGUGAUCGUACGGUUAAAGCAAUUGUUAGAGUUUUACAGCAAUUGUAAGUUGUGAGGUGUGUUAUGCUCAUUUGAGCUUUACAAUAUUGCUUGUGAGAGUGGAUUGUAAUAAUGAACUCGAAGUUUCGAGAUUUGGAUUUUUGUAAUUGUAAUUAUUCAUGUUUCGGAUUUGAAUUUAUUAUUCAA